UACCUUAUACGCCCUUUGGGGGAAAGAUUUAUCGGAGGAGGAUUAGCCCGCGUUAGAUUAGGUAGUUGGUGGGGUAAUGGCCUACCAAGCCUACGAUCUAUAGCUGGUUUGAGAGGAUGAUCAGCCACACUGGGACUGAGACACGGCCCAGACUCCUACGGGAGGCAGCAGUAGGGAAUCUUAGACAAUGGGGGCAACCCUGAUCUAGCCAUGCCGCGUGUGUGAUGAAGGCCCUAGGGUCGUAAAGCACUUUCGCCAGAGAUGGUAAUGACAGUAUCUGGUAAAGAAACCCCGGCUAACUCCGUGCCAGCAGCCGCGGUAAUACGGAGGGGGUUAGCGUUGUUCGGAAUUACUGGGCGUAAAGCGCACGUAGGCGGAUUAGUAAGUUAGAGGUGAAAUCCCAGGGCUCAACCCUGGAACUGCCUUUAAUACUGCUAGUCUUGAGUUCGAGAGAGGUAAGUGGAAUUCCGAGUGUAGAGGUGAAAUUCGUAGAUAUUCGGAGGAACACCAGUGGCGAAGGCGGCUUACUGGCUCGAUACUGACGCUGAGGUGCGAAAGUGUGGGGAGCAAACAGGAUUAGAUACCCUGGUAGUCCACACCGUAAACGAUGAAUGCCAGACGUCAGCAAGUAUACUUGUUGGUGUCACACCUAACGGAUUAAGCAUUCCGCCUGGGGAGUACGGUCGCAAGAUUAAA
rnacentral:rRNA from 1 species